rnacentral:rRNA from 1 species
UACAGAGGCCUCGAGCGUUAGGCGGAAUCACUGGGCUUAAAGGGUGCGUAGGCGGGCAGGUAAGUCCGUGGUGAAAUCUCUGAGCUUAACUCAGAAACUGCCAUGGAUACUAUUUGUCUUGAAUAUUGUGGAGGUAAGCGGAAUAUGUCAUGUAGCGGUGAAAUGCUUAGAUAUGACAUAGAACACCAAGUGCGAAGGCAGCUUACUACACAGUUAUUGACGCUGAGGCACGAAAGCGUGGGGAUCAAACAGG